rnacentral:rRNA from 1 species
UUAAGUCCCGCAACGAGCGCAACCCUCGACCUUAGUUGCCAGCAUUCAUUGGGCACUCUAAGGUGACUGCCGGCUAAAAGUCGGAGGAAGGUGGGGAUGACGUCAAAUCAUCAUGCCCCUUAUGACCUGGGCUACACACGUGCUACAAUGGGCGGUACAAAGGGUCGCGAACCCGCGAGGGGGAGCCAAUCCCAAAAAGCCGCUCUCAGUUCGGAUUGCAGGCUGCAACUCGCCUGCAUGAAGCCGGAAUCGCUAGUAAUCGCGGAUCAGCAUGCCGCGGUGAGUACGUUCCCGGGCCUU